rnacentral:rRNA from 1 species
UUUUGCGCAUGGGCGAAAGCCUGNCGCAGCGACGCCGCGUGGAGGAUGAAGGUCUUCGGAUUGUAAACUCCUUUUGUCGGGGAAGAUAAUGACGGUACCCGAUGAAUAAGCCACGGCUAACUCUGUGCCAGCAGCCGCGGUAAGACAGAGGUGGCAAGCGUUGUUCGGAAUUACNUGGGCUUAAAGGGCGCGUAGGCGGUGGAGUAAGUCUGAGGUGGAAGAUUAGGGCCUAACCCUAAAAUUGCCUUGGAAACUGCAUCACUUGAGUCAGCGAGGGGAUGGCGGAAUUCCAGGUGUAGCGGUGAAAUGCGUAGAUAUCUGGAGGAAGGCCGGUGGCGAAGGCGGCCAUCUGGCGCUGAACUGACGCUGAGGCGCGAAAGCGUGGGGAGCAAACAGGAUUAGAUACCCUGGUAGUCCACGCCCUAAACGGUGGGUACUAGGUGUAGGGCUCGCAAGGGUUCUGUGCCGUAGGGAAACCAUUAAGUACCCCGCCUGGGGAGUACGGCCGCAAGGUUGAAACUCAAAGAAAUUGACGGA